CAAGUCGAACGGAGAUUACAGGCGGAAGUUUUCGGAUGGAAGCUUGUAAACUUAGUGGCGGACGGGUGAGUAACACGUGAGCAACCUGCCUAUCAGAGGGGGAUAACGAUUGGAAACGAUCGCUAAUACCGCAUGACAUAGCGGAACCGCAUGGUUCUGUUAUCAAAGAUUUUAUCGCUGAUAGAUGGGCUCGCGUCCGAUUAGAUAGUUGGUGGGGUAACGGCCUACCAAGUCGACGAUCGGUAGCCGGACUGAGAGGUCGAACGGCCACAUUGGGACUGAGACACGGCCCAGACUCCUACGGGAGGCAGCAGUGGGGGAUAUUGCACAAUGGGGGAAACCCUGAUGCAGCGACGCCGCGUGAGGGAAGACGGUCCUCUGGAUUGUAAACCUCUGUCUUCGGGGACGAAACGAGACGGUACCCGAGGAGGAAGCCACGGCUAACUACGUGCCAGCAGCCGCGGUAAUACGUAGGUGGCAAGCGUUGUCCGGAAUUACUGGGUGUAAAGGGAGCGUAGGCGGGCAGGCAAGUCAGGCGUGAAAUAUAUCGGCUCAACCGGUAACGGCGCUUGAAACUGCAGGUCUUGAGUGAAGUAGAGGUUGGCGGAAUUCCUAGUGUAGCGGUGAAAUGCGUAGAUAUUAGGAGGAACACCAGUGGCGAAGGCGGCCAACUGGGCUUUUACUGACGCUGAGGCUCGAAAGUGUGGGGAGCAAACAGGAUUAGAUACCCUGGUAGUCCACACCGUAAACGAUGAUUACUAGGGUGUGGGGGGGACUGACCCCUUCCGUGCCGGAGUUAACACAAUAAGUAAUCCACCUGG
rnacentral:rRNA from 1 species